CCGUGGUUCCCGAGGGGCCACGGUUGCCAUCGGCCAGCGUGAGGGUGGGGACCUGGGUCUGGAGGCCUCAUCCUUGGGGUCCCAGCGGCUGCACCUGCGUCACCCGGGAGCCUGGGAAAGCACAGGUUCAGACCCGGCUGGGCCUCCCGGGUCACUGGAGCCACUGACCCGCAUCCGUGUUGGGGCUCCAGCCUCUCUGCUAUGUCGCCGCCCUCGCUUCCCCAAGUCCCCCAGUGUCUCCUGUCCUCACUCAGCGGGAAUGGCCAUUCCCUGGGGUGGGUGACACCCCAAGCCCCGUGGUCCAGGGGCAGCUCCGUCUCGCAGCGCUCCCCGGGAACGCCAGCGCUGGGAUGACCUUGCCUUUGACCUGCUUCUGGGUCCCUCAGACUCUCCGUCCUGGGAAGACAGUCUAUGAACCAGUGAGACCCUGGCUGUGACGGUGACUGAAACAUGACCCACGAGGUUGGAAGGUUUGAAAAGUGGUGCCGGCUGCUAAAGAAAGUGCGAUGUUUCUUCAGUUCUGCUGCUGGAUCCACGUGCGCGUACGACACCGUGCACACCGUGCUGGACAGACGGCGCGGAGGAGUGACCCAGGCCACACAGGUGCUGGGACCAGGUGUGCUCUCCAAGCUCCUCAAGCUACUCCCCUACAGCUGGAAUUCUCGCUUUAAAUAGGUAGGACCUUCCCGGGAGGUGGCGGAAAGUGAAAACACGAGGAGGAGCGCGGCUCGCAGCCCGAACACGGGCCCUCGGCCACAGGCUGUCGUCACCGUUAAUUAAGCCGGGACGGAGCCCUCGCCUCGCUCUUCCUUCCCGCAAGCCUGAGCGAGACAGAGGCAAGAGCUUGGCAUCUAAUCCAGAGACUGCAAGUUCAGGGGUGCAAGCACUCUGCCCGCCGCUGACUGUGCGGACACACAUGACGGAACGAACCCCCUACAACCACGUUAGCACGGGAGCAUCGCACGAGGAGCACUGAACCAAGGUGUCCUCGCAGGAGCAUAUGGAAGCGGGGGACGCUGGAGAGCAUCUUGACUUGACCGUGAAGAAUCGCAGACACGGACGGCAUUGCUGUUUCUGGGAUUUGCUGUGGAACGGGAUGCUUAUAAAUUAGGUAUGUUGAAAACCAUCUGCUUUUUGUCAAGCGAACACGGUGCCACUGGUGGAGAGGAACUGGGUGUUACUUCAUGCCAACUCUGCAAGUCGUAAAUUGUUCAUAAGAGUGUUUUAAAAGCAUAAGUGGGAGGGUUGGUUCACUUGAACGUCGCCCCCAUCAUUGCCCUGCGGCUUCAAGAGCCCUUCAAGCAUCUAUUCUGACUCCUGCUGCCUCGGUGCAGCGACGCACCUCUCGGGGAAGCACGGUGGUGCUGUGGGCGCCACGCUGCCCAACAGAGGAACGUGACCUGCUCUGAAGCGUGGCCAUGCACGAUACUCAGCCUCCGAAUAUCAAGCCUCCUCAUCUGAGCAAGUGCGUCUUAGACAUGGGAGACGUCUCGCUGCUCGGGGUUCCCGCGGGUGCUGCAGCUACAUGAGGUGACGGUCGCCAGUCCCAGUCCUGCCCAUACGUCAGAAUGGCCCACAGAGGUCAUCACGGAUGCAAGUCCCGGGCUCGCAUAGCCAGAGCUCACAGUCAGCACCCGUCCCCCUUGGCGGCCGUGGACCGUUCUUCCUCUGACCCAGCCGUUAAUGAGCAUCCGAGGCUCGCGACCCACCGCCACUUGCUGACCAUUAUCUUCGAGACUCAACUCUCCCCCUGAGAAUCACCGCAUCGUACUCUGCAUCUUUCCAGAUUGUCGGGAGUAAUCCAUGAUCAAUACUAACAGGAUCAAUAAUGGAAUUCCUGCAACCGGCAUUCAAAACAAAACAUAUGGUUAAAUCACCCGGUGUGAGGGUCCUUUUGGACAUUUGCUCUGCACCAUCGUUGGCUGUUCUGCGUAUCACGUUCUGCUAGACGACUUUCCAGGAAAGACGCAUGCGACUAGGCCCGGCCGUCCUCACCAGACCCACGCCUGGCCCAUGGCGGCGAAUCUGCUGAGACGGGGGGAAGUAAGCGAGAUAAACUCGCAAACACCAAUGCCGGGAACUGUGUCCAUCACACCGGUGUUUCGGAAUCAGAGCUCAAGGCAGGAUCGUCCGGGGCCGUGUGUGGUCUCUGGCAGCUUGUGUGACCUGGUGCUGGCGGCGGUCACCUCCUCCAUGCUCCCGGCCUCCACAGGACUCUGAGAUGUCACAGGGUUCCUCAACCGGGAAUUUGCGACUUGGAAUACGACGUCCGUUAUCUCAGCAGACAAUCCAGUUGGAAUCAUAACAUCUCCACACCCCAGGCAUCCCUAGAAAAUACAAAAACAUUUGCUUCAUUUAACAAUCUUUACUGUUCUAUUUCCGAGCUCAAUACCGACACUCUGCCAGAGUCAGUAAAGCAGAAUUAACAUAAGUGGGCAAAAUUGGAAAUGUGAGCCACGUAGCAGAGGGAGAAACCGGGCCGCUGGGAAUGUGCACCUCACAGGGCCGCUUCUCCUGCCCCCAGCACCCAGCGGCUGAUAUUGCCUUCCUGGCUCGGGUCCUGGCUCGGGGGGUUGGUCCCUGCGCUGACAACGCGGGGACAGGCAUCAGGGACAGGACAGCCGCCUGCUGGGACUGGUCUUUUCCUUUAUGUCAGGCUGAAAGCCAAAAAAAUGAUGUUCUUUAUCACAGCAAGAUCGGAAAAAGAGUGGCUCCCAGGAGUACAACGCCUGCCGCCCCUGCCAGAGUGGGAAGAGCGGGAUAACAAAGCGCCUCGUCUGCGAGGAGCAGUCGAGAAGUCAAGAAAUGCUUUCACGUAUGUGAUUUCACAUCCUCACAGUUAUGAGAUUUUUAGAGGCUGCUUCGAUGGCGUUUGGGAGGCUGAAUGUCUUGCUUCGGAUCAAGGUGUUCUAUACGACUCUUUCCCUGAGAGGUCACUUUUCCUUGUGAGCCUGUUUCCUUACCUGCAAGAGUAGAAUUUUGGUUGAACAAUGUUGGAAUUCUGUUUCUUCUGUGAUAUUUUAUCAAAGUCCUCUGGUCCAGGUCAUACACACGAAAACUGGGUCAAGGAAGCAAAAAGUCUGCGUGGGUCUCACCUGUAAAAAGGCGCUCCCACUUUCCUGCUCCCACACCAAACCGCGUCGCCUAAACCGUGAUCGAUAAUCGCCCCGGAUGCCGUGCCAGGGGCGCUGCUUGACGUCCACGUAAAACCAGGAUAGAAGAGGCGCCGCGCGAACACACCGAGGUCCAGGGACCCCUGAGGAAAUGCGCACAACCAGCGACCCCUCCUCACUCAGCACCUGAUCGGGGUCAGUUAACCCUACAUUGAAGAAUCCCGGAGUUAGGUUGACCCUGACUCUACCUGGGACACGACUAUUUUCAUGUGGAAUAAGCAAAUUCAAACGGAUCGGUCUUCAGAGUAGCUCAUGUGAACACAGACUCAGAAACAGGUGGUCACAGGUGCCCACAGCGGCCGUGACAGGUGCCGUGACCUGGCGGCGAGGAAGCAGAGGCCGCUGCGUGUUCCCCCGGAUGGGACUCGUGACGGACGCAGGUGUCACUGGACCCCCGGCAGCCGGAGCUUCUUGAGAAACCACUGAUGUGAAGGAAGCUGGCCGUCCCCGGUUACCCUUCCUGAGGGGCGGCCUGCCCACUGGCAACAGCAGUGACGGCAGAGGGGACACGGGCCUGCCCCCAGCCUUGGUGGGGACCGCCCCGAAGCUCAAGACACCAGAGACCGCGCCCUGUAAACCUGCAGCU